UGAGCAAUCUGCCCUUCUCUUUGGAAUAAGCGUUGGAAACGACGUCUAAUGCCGAAUACGACCUCCUUUCGCAUGAUCGGAGGUGGAAAGCUCCGGCGGAGAAGGAUGAGUUCGCGGCCUAUCAGCUAGUUGGUGUGGGUAAUGGCCCACCAAGGCGACGACGGGUAGCCGGCCUGAGAGGGUGACCGGCCACACUGGGACUGAGACACGGCCCAGACUCCUACGGGAGGCAGCAGG
rnacentral:rRNA from 1 species